GACGAACGCUGGCGGCGUGCCUAAUACAUGCAAGUUGAGCGCUGAAGGUUGGUACUUGUACCAACUGGAUGAGCAGCGAACGGGUGAGUAACGCGUGGGGAAUCCGCCUUUGAGCGGGGGACAACAUUUGGAAACGAAUGCUAAUACCGCAUAAAAACUUUAAACACAAGUUUUAAGUUUGAAAGAUGCAAUUGCAUCACUCAAAGAUGAUCCCGCGUUGUAUUAGCUAGUUGGUGAGGUAAAGGCUCACCAAGGCGAUGAUACAUAGCCGACCUGAGAGGGUGAUAGGCCACAUUGGGACUGAGACACGGCCCAAACUCCUACGGGAGGCAGCAGUAGGGAAUCUUCGGCAAUGGACGAAAGUCUGACCGAGCAACGCCGCGUGAGUGAAGAAGGUUUUCGGAUCGUAAAACUCUGUUGGUAGAGAAGAACGUUGGUGAGAGUGGAAAGCUCAUCAAGUGACGGUAACUACCCAGAAAGGGACGGCUAACUACGUG
rnacentral:rRNA from 1 species